GAUGAACGCUGGCGGCGUGCCUAAUACAUGCAAGUCGAGCGAACAGGCGAGGAGCUUGCUCCUCUGACGUUAGCGGCGGACGGGUGAGUAACACGUGGAUAACCUACCUAUAAGACUGGGAUAACUUCGGGAAACCGGAGCUAAUACCGGAUAAUAUAUUGAACCGCAUGGUUCAAUAGUGAAAGACGGUUUUGCUGUCACUUAUAGAUGGCUCCGCGCCGCAUUAGCUAGUUGGUAAGGUAACGACUUACCAAGGCAACGAUGCGUAGCCGACCUGAGAGGGUGAUCGGCCACACUGGAAAUGAGACACGGUCCCGACUCCUACGGGAGGCAGCAGUAGGGAAUCUUCCGCAAUGGGCGAAAGCCUGACGGAGCAACGCCGCGUGAGUGAUGAAGGUCUUCGGAUCGUAAAACUCUGUUAUUAGGGAAGAACAAAUGUGUAAGUAACUAUGCACGUCUUGACGGUACCUAAUCAGAAAGCCACGGCUAACUACGUG
rnacentral:rRNA from 1 species